UACGGAGGGAGCUAGCGUUGUUCGGAAUUACUGGGCGUAAAGCGCACGUAGGCGGCUUUGUAAGUCAGAUGUGAAAGCCCCGGGCUCAACCUGGGAACUGCAUUUGAUACUCUGGUGCUGGAGUUCGGGAGAGGAGAGUGGAAUUCCCAGUGUAGAGGUGAAAUUCGUAGAUAUUCGCAAGAACACCAGUGGCGAAGGCGGCUCACUGGCCCGAUACUGACGCUGAGGCACGAAAGCGUGGGGAGCAAACAGG
rnacentral:rRNA from 1 species